rnacentral:rRNA from 1 species
GACAGAGGUGCCAAGCGUUAGGCGGAAUCACUGGGCUUAAAGCGUGUGUAGGCGGAUGGGUAAGUACCUUGUGAAAUCCCACGGCUCAACCGUGGAACUGCUCGGUAUACUGCUUAUCUUGAGCCACUUAGGGGCUGUCGGAACAAACGGUGGAGCGGUGAAAUGCGUAGAUAUCUGGAGGAACACCGGUGGCGAAGGCAGUUCUCUGGGCCGUAACUGACGCUGAGGAGCGAAAGCGUGGGGAGCGAACAGG